UACGAAGGGGGCUAGCGUUGCUCGGAAUUACUGGGCGUAAAGGGCUCGUAGGCGGCCAACUAAGUCAGACGUGAAAUCCCUCAGCUUAACUGGGGAACUGCGUCUGAUACUGGAUGGCUAGAGUGUGGGAGAGGGAUGCGGAAUUCCAGGUGUAGCGGUGAAAUGCGUAGAUAUCUGGAGGAACACCGGUGGCGAAGGCGGCAUCCUGGACCACGACUGACGCUGAGUGAGCGAAAGCCAGGGGAGCAAACGGG
rnacentral:rRNA from 1 species